ACGGGUGAGUAACACGUGGGAACGUACCCUUCAGUUCGGAAUAACGCUGGGAAACUAGCGCUAAUACCGGAUACGCCCUUAUGGGGAAAGGUUUACUGCCGAAGGAUCGGCCCGCGUCUGAUUAGCUAGUUGGUGGGGUAAUGGCCUACCAAGGCGACGAUCAGUAGCUGGUCUGAGAGGAUGAUCAGCCACACUGGGACUGAGACACGGCCCAGACUCCUACGGGAGGCAGCAGUGGGGAAUAUUGGACAAUGGGCGCAAGCCUGAUCCAGCCAUGCCGCGUGAGUGAUGAAGGCCUUAGGGUUGUAAAGCUCUUUUGUCCGGGACGAUAAUGACGGUACCGGAAGAAUAAGCCCCGGCUAACUUCGUGCCAGCAGCCGCGGUAAUACGAAGGGGGCUAGCGUUGCUCGGAAUCACUGGGCGUAAAGGGCGCGUAGGCGGCCAUUCAAGUCGGGGGUGAAAGCCUGUGGCUCAACCACAGAAUUGCCUUCGAUACUGUUUGGCUUGAGUAUGGCAGAGGUCAGUGGAACUGCGAGUGUAGAGGUGAAAUUCGUAGA
rnacentral:rRNA from 1 species